CCUACGGGAGGCUGCAGUGGGGGAUAUUGCACAAUGGGGGGAACCCUGAUGCAGCGACGCCGCGUGGGUGAAGGAGCGUUUCGGCGCGUAAAGCCCUAUCGGCAGGGAAGAAGAUGACGGUACCUGACCAAGAAGCCCCGGCUAACUACGUGCCAGCAGCCGCGGUAAUACGUAGGGGGCAAGCGUUAUCCGGAUUUACUGGGUGUAAAGGGGGCGCAGGCGGCAAUGCAAGCCAGGAGUGAAAGCCCGGGGCCCAACCCCGGGACUGCCUUUGAAACUGCAUGGCUGGAGUACAGGAGGGGCAGGCGGAAUUCCUAGUGUAGCGGUGAAAUGCGUAGAGAUUAGGAAGAACACCAGUGGCGAAGGCGGCUUUCUGGACUGAAACUGACGCUGAGGCACGAAAGCGUGGGGAGCGAACAGGAUUAGAUACCCCAGUAGUC
rnacentral:rRNA from 1 species